rnacentral:rRNA from 1 species
UACGUAGGGGGCAAGCGUUGUCCGGAUUUAUUGGGCGUAAAGAGCGUGUAGGCGGCUAGGUAGGUCCGUUGUGAAAACUCGAGGCUCAACCUCGAGACGUCGAUGGAAACCAUCUAGCUAGAGUCCGGAAGAGGAGAGUGGAAUUCCUGGUGUAGAGGUGAAAUUCGUAGAUAUUGGGAAGAACACCGGUGGCGAAGGCGGCUAUCUGGACCGACAUUGACGCUGAGGCGCGAAAGCGUGGGGAGCAAACAGG